GGUGGCUCUUCACGCGACACUACCAUGUGAACCUCCCCAGGGUCGGAAGGCAGCAAGGAUAAGCAUGCUCUUGUGGGUGCGUGAAGGGUCUUUAUU
rnacentral:SRP_RNA from 1 species